rnacentral:rRNA from 1 species
CUACGGGGUGCAGCAGUGAGGAAUAUUGCACAAUGGGGGGAACCCUGAUGCAGCAACGCCGCGUGGAGGAUGACGCAUUUCGGUGUGUAAACUCCUUUUAUAUGUCAAGAAAAUGACGGUAGCAUAUGAAUAAGCGCCGGCUAACUCCGUGCCAGCAGCCGCGGUAAUAGGAGGGUGCAAGCGUUACUCGGAAUCACUGGGCGUAAAGGACGCGUAGGCGGGUUGGAAAGUCAGGUGUGAAAUCCUACAGCUUAACUGUAGAACUGCACUUGAAACUUCUAAUCUAGAGUAUGGGAGGGGGAGAUGGAAUUAGUGGUGUAGGGGUAAAAUCCGUAGAUAUCACUAGGAAUACCUAAAGCGAAGGCGAUCUCCUGGAACAUUACUGACGCUAAGGCGUGAAAGCGUGGGGAGCAAACAGGAUUAGAUACCCUGGUAGUC